UAUAUAUAUGUAUAUAAAGAUUACACCCAGAACGAAAAAUAAUAACAAACCUAGAAAUUAAACUGUUUGCUUUUUGAACUUUGACUCAUUUAUGACAAAAAUGAUUAACAAAUCUUCUAACCACCCUUACCAAUUAGGAAAAAACAAAAAAGAACAGAAAAACAAAGAAAAGACAUAGUACUUGGUCAGCACUACUGCUUUUAAUUUCUCAAACUCUUCAUUACCACAUAGCAGAUACCAGUCACAAGCACGAGGCCUAGUUUUAGAUCUCUGGAUGAUCUAGAGUAUUCUGUCCUACCAAAAACCUACUCUGAGACUAUUCCUGCUCAUCACACAUAUGUCUUCAAAAAAAUCAUAUCUUUAGGGCAAAUAAAUCAACAGUCCUCAUGAUGCCAAGUGUACUUUUGCUAGUAUUAUUUCCUUCGCCAAAUGUUUCAAGAUUUUUAUAAAAAUACUGCUUUCAGCAAAUAUUACACCCAGCAUAAGACUGACAUAGGCACAAUGUCUUUCAGUGGCUGCACUAGUGAUAACCUGAUGUCAUCUAUAUCCCAAGAUGAGGCAGUGGAAAGCAUAAACAUUAUAUGAAGUUUUCUUACCCAAAAUGUUUAAUCAGAAUCUAAAUCAAACCUCAACACAACUUUCAGUUUACAAGAAACACAUGGAACAGAGGAACAAGGUAAGGAAACAAUCAAAUCGAAAACUGGUCUGGAUUCUUCAAAAUGUCAAUGUCAUAUGGGGAUAAAAAUAGGGGACCCAAGAAGACACUAAAGAGAUACAAUACCAAAUGCAAGCUGUGGACUUUUUUUAGAUCCUAAUUU